UUCCGUAGGGUGAACCUGCGGAGGGAUCAUUACGGGGUUUACAACUCCCAAACCCAAUGUGAACGUUACCAAACUGUUGCCUCGGCGGGGUCACGCCCCGGGUGCGUCGCAGCCCCGGAACCAGGCGCCCGCCGGAGGAACCAACCAAACUCUUUCUGUAGUCCCCUCGCGGACGUAUUUCUUUACAGCUCUGAGCAAAAAUUCAAAAUGAAUCAAAACUUUCAACAACGGAUCUCUUGGUUCUGGCAUCGAUGAAGAACGCAGCGAAAUGCGAUAAGUAAUGUGAAUUGCAGAAUUCAGUGAAUCAUCGAAUCUUUGAACGCACAUUGCGCCCGCCAGUAUUCUGGCGGGCAUGCCUGUCCGAGCGUCAUUUCAACCCUCGAACCCCUCCGGGGGAUCGGCGUUGGGGAUCGGGACCCCUCACACGGGUGCCGGCCCCUAAAUACAGUGGCGGUCUCGCCGCAGCCUCUCCUGCGCAGUAGUUUGCACAACUCGCACCGGGAGCGCGGCGCGUCCACGUCCGUAAAACACCCAACUUUCUGAAAUGUUGACCUCGGAUCAGGUAGGAAUACCCGCUGAACUUAAGCAUAUCAAUAAGCGGAGGAAA
rnacentral:rRNA from 1 species